AAGACAUUAGUAAAAUGCAAAUUACACCACCUUGUCAAGGUGGAAUUGCAGGUUAAAUCCCUGUAUGUCUUA
rnacentral:tRNA from 8 species